rnacentral:rRNA from 1 species
UACGUAGGUCCCAAGCGUUAUCCGGAGUUACUGGGCGUAAAGUGUCCGUAGCCUGAUAUUUAAGUCCAUUUUCAAAUAUCUCAGCUUAACUGAGAGAAGGGAAUAGAUACUGGAUAUCUGGAGGUCUUUGGAGGUUAGUGGAAUUUCCGGUGGAGCGGUGAAAUGCGUUGAUAUCGGAAAGAAUGCCGAAAGCGAAAGCAGCUAACUACAGAGAACCUGACGGUGAGGGACGAAAGUUUGGGGAGCAAACGGG